AGCGGUCUGUUCAGGUGGAUGA
rnacentral:miRNA from 1 species